rfam:Schistosoma mattheei strain Denwood, Zambia genome assembly, scaffold: SMTD_contig0015503
AGCCUUCUGAACCCGUACCGAGAUUUCGUCAGAAAUCAGAACAUCAGCACUGAUGAGACUCCCAAGAUAAGUGAAUUG